AGUUUGAUCCUGGCUCAGAGUGAACGCUGGCGGCGUGGAUUAGGCAUGCAAGUCGAGCGAUUUUGAUUGAUGAAGUGAGGUGAGACCUUCGGGUCGAUCUUCGCCGAUUCGAUCGCGAUAGCGGCAAACGGGUGAGUAACGCGUGGGUAACGUACCUUGCGGAGAGGGAUAGCUUCGUGAAAACGGAGGUAAUACCUCAUGGACCCUUGGCACUGCGGUGCCGUAGGGUAAAGGUGGCGACUGCUUCGGCAAGCUACCACCGUAAGAGCGGCCCGCGACCUAUCAGGUAGUUGGCAGGGUAACGGCCUACCAAGCCUAAGACGGGUAGCUAGCCUAAGAGGGUGGUUAGCCACACCGGGACUGAGACACUGCCCGGACUCCUACGGGAGGCUGCAGUCGAGAAUCUUUUCCAAUGGACGAAAGUCUGAGAAUGCGACGCCGCGUGGGGGAUGAAGGUUUUCGGAUUGUAAACCCCUUUUAUCAGGGAGGAAUUACUUGGCGUGAAUAAUGUCAAGGGUUGACUGUACCUGAUGAAUAAGCCACGGCUAAUUCCGUGCCAGCAGCCGCGGUAAUACGGAAGUGGCGAGCGUUACUCGGUUUGACUGGGUGUAAAGGGUCCGCAGGCGGCCAGGUAAGUGAAAGGUGAAAUCUCUCGGCUUAACCGAGAAACUGCCUUUCAAACUGUCUGGCUUGAGGCUGGGAGAGGAGAGCAGAACUGUCAGUGUAAGGGUGAAAUCUGUGGAUAUUGACAGGAAUGCCCGUGGGGAAGCCGGCUCUCUGGUCCAGUCCUGACGCUCAGGGACGAAAGCUAGGGGAGCAAACAGGAUUAGAUACCCUGGUAGUCCUAGCUGUAAACGAUGGGCACUAGGUGUCUGUCCUUUAAGGAUGGGUGCCGCAGCUAACACAUUAAGUGCCCCACCUGGAGCACCCGCCC
rnacentral:rRNA from 1 species